rnacentral:rRNA from 1 species
GACGAACGCUGGCGGCGUGCUUAACACAUGCAAGUCGAACGGUAAGGCCCCUUCGGGGGUACACGAGUGGCGAACGGGUGAGUAACACGUGAGCAACCUGCCCUUGACUUUGGGAUACCAGCUGGAAACAGCUGCUAAUACCGGAUAUGACCUCUUCUCUCAUGGGUUGAGGUGGAAAGCUCCGGCGGUCAGGGAUGGGCUCGCGGCCUAUCAGCUUGUUGGUGAGGUAAUGGCUCACCAAGGCUUCGACGGGUAGCCGGCCUGAGAGGGCGACCGGCCACACUGGGACUGAGAUACGGCCCAGACUCCUACGGGAGGCAGCAGUGGGGAAUAUUGCACAAUGGGCGCAAGCCUGAUGCAGCAACGCCGCGUGCGGGAUGACGGCCUUCGGGUUGUAAACCGCUUUCAGUAGGGACGAAGCUAACGUGACGGUACCUACAGAAGAAGGACCGGCUAUCUACGUG